CAGGCGCGAAAACUUUACAAUGCGGGAAACCGUGAUAAGGGAACUCCGAGUGCCCGUAAAAUCGGGCUGUCCAUCUGUUUAAAUAACAGGUGAAGAAAGGGCCGGGCAAGACCGGUGCCAGCCGCCGCGGUAAUACCGGCGGCUCGAGUGGUGGCCACUAUUACUGGGCUUAAAGCGUUCGUAGCUGGUUUGUUAAGUCUCUGGGGAAAUCUGCCGGCUCAACCGGCAGGAGUUCCAGGGAUACUGGCAGACUAGGGACCGGGAGAGGUGAGGGGUACUCCAGGGGUAGGAGUGAAAUCCCGUAAUCCUUGGGGGACCACCUGUGGCGAAGGCGCCUCACCAGAACGGCUCCGACAGUGAGGGACGAAAGCUGGGGGAGCAAACCGGAUUAGAUACCCGGGUAGUCCCAGCCGUAAACGAUGCGCGUUAGGUGUAUCGGUGACCACGAGUCACCGAGGUGCCGAAGAGAAAUCGUGAAACGUGCCGCCUGGGAAGUACGGUCGCAAGGCUGAAACUUAAAGGAAUUGGCGGGGGAGCACCACAACAGGUGGAGCCUGCGGUUUAAUCGGACUCAACGCCGGAAAUCUCACCGGAUAAGACAGCUGGAUGAUAGUCGGGCUGAAGACUCUACUUGACUAGCUGAGAGGAGGUGCAUGGCCGUCGUCAGUUCGUACUGUGAAG
rnacentral:rRNA from 1 species